CGGGUGGUAAUGCCGGAUGUUCCACAUGAUCGCAUGUGAUUGUGGGAAAGAUUCUAUCGGCGUGGGAUGGGGUCGCGUCCUAUCAGCUUGUUGGUGAGGUAACGGCUCACCAAGGCUUCGACGGGUAGCCGGCCUGAGAGGGCGACCGGCCACAUUGGGACUGAGAUACGGCCCAGACUCCUACGGGAGGCAGCAGUGGGGAAUAUUGCACAAUGGGCGCAAGCCUGAUGCAGCGACGCCGCGUGAGGGAUGGAGGCCUUCGGGUUGUAAACCUCUUUUGUUUGGGAGCAAGCCUUCGGGUGAGUGUACCUUUCGAAUAAGCGCCGGCUAACUACGUGCCAGCAGCCGCGGUAAUACGUAGGGCGCAAGCGUUAUCCGGAUUUAUUGGGCGUAAAGGGCUCGUAGGCGGCUCGUCGCGUCCGGUGUGAAAGUCCAUCGCUUAACGGUGGAUCUGCGCCGGGUACGGGCGGGCUGGAGUGCGGUAGGGGAGACUGGAAUUCCCGGUGUAACGGUGGAAUGUGUAGAUAUCG
rnacentral:rRNA from 1 species